AAUAGAUACCCUGGUAGUCCAUGCCGUAAACGAUGUCUACUAGCCGUUGGGGCCCUUGAGGCUUUAGUGGCGCAGCUAACGCGAUAAGUAGACCGCCCGGGGAGUACGGUCGCAAGACUAAAACUCAAAUGAAUUGACGGGGGCCCGCACAAGCGGUGGAGCAUGUGGUUUAAUUCGAUGCAACGCGAAGAACCUUACCUGGCCUUGACAUACAGAGAACUUUCCAGAGAUGGAUUGGUGCCUUCGGGAACUCUGAUACAGGUGCUGCAUGGCUGUCGUCAGCUCGUGUCGUGAGAUGUUGGGUUAAGUCCCGCAACGAGCGCAACCCUUUUCCUUAUUUGCCAGCACUUCGGGUGGGAACUUUAAGGAUACUGCCAGUGACAAACUGGAGGAAGGCGGGGACGACGUCAAGUCAUCAUGGCCCUUACGGCCAGGGCUACACACGUGCUACAAUGGUCGGUACAAAGGGUUGCUACUGCGCGAGCAGAUGCUAAUCUCAAAAAGCCGAUCGUAGUCCGGAUCGCAGU
rnacentral:rRNA from 1 species